rnacentral:rRNA from 1 species
AACGAACGCUGGCGGCAGGCCUAACACAUGCAAGUCGAGCGAGCAUUUCGGUGCUAGCGGCGGACGGGUGAGUAACGCAUGGGAACGUUCCCUUUUCUGCGGAAUAGUCCUGGGAAACUGGGGGUAAUACCGCAUACGCCCUUUGGGGGAAAGAUUUAUCGGAGAAGGAUCGGCCCGCGUUGGAUUAGGUAGUUGGUGGGGUAAUGGCCCACCAAGCCGACGAUCCAUAGCUGGUUUGAGAGGAUGAUCAGCCACACUGGGACUGAGACACGGCCCAGACUCCUACGGGAGGCAGCAGUGGGGAAUCUUAGACAAUGGGGGCAACCCUGAUCUAGCCAUGCCGCGUGAGUGAUGAAGGCCUUAGGGUUGUAAAGCUCUUUCAGCUGGGAAGAUAAUGACGGUACCAGCAGAAGAAGCCCCGGCUAACUCCGUG